AUGCAAUCUAAAUAUAACACACACACACACAUAUAUAUAUAUAUGUAUAUAUAUAUAUAUAUGUGUGUGUGUAUAUACAUAUAUAUUACAUAUAUGUUGUAUCCCCCUAAAGAAUAUAAGUUCCUUGAAGGCAAGUUUCAUUUUUAUCUUUGCAUCACCAGUAUCUGCACAUGGGGUAUGACCAAUCAAUCAAAAUGCAUCUAUAAAAUGUGUGAUAAGUGCUGGGGAUACAAAGAAAUAGCAAAAUCCCUGCCUUCAAGGAGUUGACAUUCUAAUGAGAGAGACAACAUGUACAUAUGUAGGUUUAUACAAGAUACUUACAAAAUGGAUACAAGGUAACCUGAAAGGAAAAUGCACCAGAAGUCCUAAGAAAAAGCACUAAGAAGUCCACCUGAAGAAGGGGGCACUUGAGCUGAGCCUUGAAGGAAGCUAUCCUUGCAAAUAUUUGAACCCAACUAUGAUUGCGAGCUCAGAAGUCUUCUCUUUUCCACUCUAUAUCUACUCAUUUCCUCCAAUUAAACUUCCUAUGACACGCUCUCAAGCCCUUUUGUCAUCCUGGCUGCCUCUCAUCCUCAGCAUGCUCUAUAGCUUGUCAGUGUCCUCUCCUCUCCAUUCCCAUUACCAUGCUCCCAUCCUGCAUCAUAAACCUCCUUUCACACCCUCUUCCUCCAUCUUCAUACCGCUGCCAGAAUAAUCUUUCUUUACCUCUAGACCUGGAAAUGUGUUGCCUCUAAAAUUCUUCAGUGUUGCUGGUCAGCUCCAGGAGCAAGGAGGAAAGGGGAGAGGGAGAAAAUGAAUCAUGGAAAAAUAUUAUAUAUGUAUAUAUAUAUAUUUGUUUGUCUAAAGGGGGUCUAUGGGGUACUCAGGGAGGGGUAGUAUCUCUGGUAUGGAGGGCUUGUCGUGCCCUCCUAGGGCAGCUCUCCAACCUCUGACCCCCACCUGACACCCAGCUCUCACUUGUGGCUCCCAGUAGCUGCUAGCAUGUGGCAGUGGCCACACCCCGGGCAACGGCUUCGACAGGCCGGCUAAACCUUGUGAGGGUAGCCAUGGGGUUGUUGUCGACCCCUGGUGAACCAGGCCUUUGCUCACCCAGCAUGUGAAGACUGCUUCGGCAGAACAGGCGGAAGAAACCAAUAAGAAGGUUCAACAGCUGAGAUGGCGACGCAGCAAAGCACUGUGGAAUGCUAUGGGCAUGUUGGAGCACAAAGGACAACACGGCCAUCCAAUGCAGCUGAGGAAGUCUCCAGGUGUAACGACUUUUCGUGCCACUGGACCCAGGCUUCCAAUGCCGAGAGAGUGGGACUGUCUCUGUGCAUCGGCUUUUCCACUUAAAUCUCCUUCAUACACAAGUGUCUUUAUGCAUGCUCAUCUAUCAUAGAUGAAAACGCACAAAGACAAUCAUCAUCCUCGGUUUCCGAGAGACUACUACUGUUUGUCUAAAAGAUAAAAUAAAAU
rnacentral:lncRNA from 1 species